rnacentral:rRNA from 1 species
CAUGCAGUCGAGGGGCAGCGCAGGUAGCAAUACUGGGCGGCGACCGGCAAACGGGUGCGGAACACGUACGUAACCUUCCUUUAAGUGGGAGAUAGCCCGAAGAAAUUCGGAUUAAUACCCCAUAAGAUUGUGGAAUGGCAUCAUUCAGCAAUUAAAGAAAUUCGCUUAAAGAUGGGCGUGCGGCUGAUUAGGUAGUUGGUGAGGUAACGGCUCACCAAGCCAACGAUCAGUAACUGGCGUGAGAGCGCGACCAGUCACACGGGCACUGAGACACGGGCCCGACUCCUACGGGAGGCAGCAGUAAGGAGUAUUGGUCAAUGGACGCAAGUCUGAACCAGCCAUGCCGCGUGAAGGAUGAAGGUCCUCUGGAUUGUAAACUUCUUUUAUAUGGGAAGAAACCACUUUUUUCUAAAGGUGUUGACGGUACCAUAGGAAUAAGCACCGGCUAACUCCGUGCCAGCAGCCGCGGUAAUACGGAGGGUGCAAGCGUUAUCCGGAUUCACUGGGUUUAAAGGGUGCGUAGGCGGAUUAGUAAGUCCGUGGUGAAAUCUCCGAGCUUAACUCGGAAACUGCCGUGGAUACUAUUAAUCUUGAAUACUGUGGAGGUUAGCGGAAUAUGUCAUGUAGCGGUGAAAUGCAUAGAUAUGACAUAGAACACCAAUUGCGAAGGCAGCUGGCUACACAGAGAUUGACGCUGAGGCACGAAAGCGUGGGGAUCAAACAGGAUUAGAUACCCUGGUAGUCCACGCCCUAAACGAUGAUUACUCGACAUUUGCGAUAUACAGUAAGUGUCUGAGCGAAAGCAUUAAGUAAUCCACCUGGGAAGUACGACCGCAAGGUUGAAACUCAAA